AGUGGCGGACGGGUGAGUAACGCGUGGAUAACCUGCCUCACACAGGGGGAUAACAGUUAGAAAUGACUGCUAAUACCGCAUAAGCGCACAGUCUCGCAUGGGACAGUGUGAAAAACUGAGGUGGUGUGAGAUGGAUCCGCGUCUGAUUAGGCAGUUGGCGGGGUAACGGCCCACCAAACCAACGAUCAGUAGCCGGCCUGAGAGGGUGAACGGCCACAUUGGGACUGAGACACGGCCCAAACUCCUACGGGAGGCAGCAGUGGGGAAUAUUGCACAAUGGGGGAAACCCUGAUGCAGCGACGCCGCGUGAAGGAAGAAGUAUUUCGGUAUGUAAACUUCUAUCAGCAGGGAAGAAAAUGACGGUACCUGACUAAGAAGCCCCGGCUAACUACGUGCCAGCAGCCGCGGUAAUACGUAGGGGGCAAGCGUUAUCCGGAUUUACUGGGUUUAAAGGGUGCGUAGGCGGACUGUCAAGUCAGCGGUAAAAUACGGGGGCUCAACCUCCGCCCGCCGUUGAAACUGACGGUCUUGAGUGGGCGAGAAGUAUGCGGAAUGCGUGGUGUAGCGGUGAAAUGCAUAGAUAUCACGCAGAACUCCGAUUGCGAAGGCAGCAUACCGGCGCCCAACUGACGCUGAAGCACGAAAGCGUGGGUAUCGAACA
rnacentral:rRNA from 1 species